CUCUAAACCAGAAGACUAAAAAUUAGUGACUAAAACCAAACGCGCCUUAUCUUCGUCUGUUCCUAGAUUCUACUAGGACGAGCCCAAAUCCAAAUCGUCCUGAGGAAAGGGUAAAGAAAGUGAAGCAAGGGGCUGCCUGGCUUAGGGUUUCUUGACGGCUCCUUGCCCUCUCCGCCAUGGACGCGCAGCGAGCCCUCCUUGACGAGCUCAUGGGCACAGCUCGUAACCUAACGGAGGAGGAGAAGAAGGGGCACAAGGAGCUGAAGUGGGACGAUCCGGACGUGUGCGGCCCCUACAUGGUCCGGUUCUGUCCCCACGACCUUUUCGUCAACACCAAGAGCAAUCUCGGGCCGUGCUUGAGGAUCCAUGAUCCGAAGCUCAAGGAAAGCUUUGAGAAAUCUCCCAGGCAUGAUACUUAUAUGCAAAGGUUUGAGGCAGAGCUUGCACAACAAUGUGAGAAAUUGGUAAUGGAUUUGGAUAGAAAGAUAAGACGUGGUCGAGAAAGGUUGGCUCACGAUUCUGCUGUGCCAAUGCCAAUCCCUGGAAAAAUAGCUGAGCAGCUUUCAGCGCGAGAAGAACAGGUCAAGAAGCUACUGGAGCAAAUCGAGGAGCUUGGUGAGGCUGGUAAAGUGGAUGAAGCUGAGGCACUUAUGAAACGGGUUGACAUUCUAAACGCUGAGAAGACAGCUUUAUCUAACCAAGCAGACAGCAAAGUGGCUAUGCUUGAGAAGAAGAUGGAGCUUUGCGAAACGUGUGGAUCAUUCUUAGUUGCUGAUGAUGCUCUUGAGAGAACCCAGUCCCACGUGACUGGGAAACAACACAUUGGAUAUGGUAUGGUUAGAGAUUUCCUGGUGGAAUACAAGGCGGCAAUAGAGAAGUCAAAAGAGGAAGAUAGGCUUGCAAGGGAGCAGAAAGCAGAGGAGCGUCGGAAGCAGAGAGGAAAAGAGUAUGAUAAUGGGGGCAGGGAUAGAGAUACCAGAAGGGAGAAGUCUGGGGAGCGUGACUAUGACCGUGAUCGUCAGUAUGAGCGAAGCCGUGGAAGAGACAGGUCUUAUGAUUACAGAGAGAGAGGAUCAGAGCACCGAAGCAAUCUCUACAGAAAUGGGAGGGAUUCCGAAAGAGGUGGACACAGAUACAGGAGUGGUGAUAUGACAAACGACCGGGGGAGAAUGAGGAGCAGAUCACGUUCUCCAACAAGGCAUGGCUAUGGAAGAUCUGGAAGUCCAAAUCAUUAGCUGAAUAUUUAGAUAGUUUUAUUCACAGUUGGGACUCAUGAGCUCUGUUGGAACCCUACAGUCUUCCUUUUUACAUGAGAAAAAAAAAAUUCUCAGUUAAACUCGUAAGGCCGGUACUGGACUUCAUGUAUGGAUGAUGAUGUUUACAGAAUUACAGUCUAUAGCAGGUAAACCUUGAACAUCAAUGUUUCGUGUUACACAUUUUUUUAUUUCCCUUGACAACUCUGCUAGAAACCUUAGUCCUGCUCUUUGGCUUAGAUUUUUUACACUACUCAGGCCAGGUAUCUUUUUUUUACCAAAAUUUAUGUGCAUAAAUUAUGAGUUAUGUACCUUUAAUAGUUGACUAGUUAUCAAUUUGUCAUGAAGUAGUAUUGUGUUCAGGAAGAACAAUCAGACAAAAUGAUCCAGUCAUUGACAACCAUCAACAAAUUCUUUUUCUGGAACCGUUGUAGUGUACAAGAGAUCAAGCUUUGGUUUUGUACAUAAUGGUGCCCUGGUUAGACCUAUUUCCUGACUGUAGUUAUUGGCUUGAAGUCUAGUUUGGGGAAGGUUCUGUUUGCCAGCUACCUUGCAGUUGCGGUAUUUGAGCAGAUAGUGUAUUCUAACUAUGCAAACUAAUAGAUGACAGGCUUCGGUGUUUUUGACAUAUUUUUAUGUUUUGGAUCAAUUGGCGUCAUGAUCUCGGUGGGGGCAAUGUCCACUGAUGUUAUGUUGUUUGCAUGACAUUCCUGCGCCUUUUUACACUUGACAUAACAACAUGUUUUUCCAUAAUUGAGUUGUGCGUGGGUGACUUCGACGAGACUGAGGUCUCUAAUUGGUUGGUCAAGUCCUGAGGUAACCCACUCUGCCCCUUUUUUGGUGAAUACUAGUUGCUUAUGCAAAUGAUGGAGAAGGUUAGGCCAGAAGAUUCUUUGGUGGUAAUUGGGAACUAAGACCGUGUUCAGCACGCAUUAGAACCAGCUAAACCUGUCUUCAGUCGUGCUUGUGCUCCUCAGAGCAUCGCCGCCGUGGCCAUAUCGUGCCUGCACCACACACGUGUUUAGGUGCUGACGGAGGUGUGCGGGUGCAGUCGGUGGCCUCUUCAGCCUCUAGGUAACCUCAUACGAACUGAGAUGACUAGAAGGUGUAAAUGUUAGUGGAAUUUGAUUGCACUGUGACUGUAAGGAAUGAAUCAGAUCAGUCUGGGGUUGGAUUUGGACUGUAAUGGAACCAGUUGAGUGCAGAUCAUUGGUUAAAA